GACGUAGGGGGCGAGCGUUGUCCGGAUUUAUUGGGCGUAAAGCGUGCGUAGGCGGCUGCGCAAGUCGGUUGUGAAACCCCGGGGCUCAACCCCGGAACUGCAUCCGAUACUGCGUGGCUAGAGGUAGGUAGGGGAGAUCGGAAUUCCUGGUGUAACGGUGAAAUGUGUUGAUAUCAGGAGGAACACCCAUGGCGAAGGCAGCAAACUGGUCAUCAACUGACGCUGAGGCGCGAAAGCGUGGGUAGCAAACAGG
rnacentral:rRNA from 1 species